AACGAACGCUGGCGGCAGGCUUAACACAUGCAAGUCGAGCGCCUCGCAAGGGGAGCGGCAGACGGGUGAGUAACGCGUGGGAAACUACCCUUUGGUACGGAAUAACACAGAGAAAUUUGUGCUAAUACCGUAUGAGCCCUUCGGGGAAAGAUUUAUCGCCAUAGGAUGUGCCCACGUCGGAUUAGCUAGUUGGCGGGGUAAAGGCCCACCAAGGCGACGAUCCGUAGCUGGUCUGAGAGGAUGAUCAGCCACACUGGAACUGAGACACGGUCCAGACUCCUACGGGAGGCAGCAGUAGGGAAUAUUGGACAAUGGGCGCAAGCCUGAUCCAGCCAUGCCGCGUGAGUGAAGAAGGCCCUCGGGUUGUAAAGCUCUUUUGUCCGGAAAGAAAAGCGCCGGGUUAAUACCCUGGUGUCCUGACGGUACCGGAAGAAUAAGCACCGGCUAACUUCGUG
rnacentral:rRNA from 1 species